rnacentral:tRNA from 1 species
GCAUUGGUGGUUCAGUGGUAGAAUUCUCGCCUCCUACGUGGGAGACCAGGGUCCUAUUCCCGGCCAAUGCA